rnacentral:rRNA from 1 species
GACGAACGCUGGCGGCAUGCCUAAUACAUGCAAGUUGAACGAUGAUAUUCUCUGCUUGCAGAGAAUUGAAGAGUAGCGAACGGGUGAGUAACACGUGGGGAACCUGCCCAUGAGAGGGGGAUAACAUUCGGAAACGGAUGCUAAUACCGCAUAAUGCUUUGGACCGCCUGGUCCAGAGACGAAAGACGGCUUUUGCCGUCACUCAUGGAUGGCCCCGCGCCGUAUUAGCUAGUUGGUGAGCUAAUGGCUCACCAAAGCUGUGAUACGUAGCCGACCUGAGAGGGUGAUCGGCCACACUGGGACUGAGACACGGCCCAGACUCCUACGGGAGGCAGCAGUAGGGAAUCUUCCACAAUGGGCGAAAGCCUGAUGGAGCAAUGCCGCGUGAAUGAAGAAGGUCUUCGGAUCGUAAAGUUCUGUUAUUAGAGAAGAACAAGUCAAGGAGUAACUGUCUUGACUUUGACGGUACCUAACCAGAAAGUCACGGCUAACUACGUG